UAUUAGUAAUAAACGAUCGUCAUAGUUUCAUAAGUAUACGAAAUCGUGUAGAAGAUAGUUUGAUGAUUAGUUAAGAAUAAGGGUUAAAGUGCAAAUUAGCCACUUUAAGGACUAAAGUGAACUUUUAACCAUAAACUUUCGGAGGAAGUUGUGUUUUAAUCUAUUUUCUCAAGAUAAGAAAAUAAUAUCGAUAAAGUGGUUAUCGAUGGUCAUUAAGAUGAAAUAUUGGACGAAAAAGUACAAGUUAGCUCAAAAUGGAAAUUUGAGCGUUUUUAGCCAAAAUUGCCAAGAUAAAUUAUUGGAAAGUGAUAUUAAAAGAUAUGAGACUAAUGUUAUUUAUUUGAGAAAUAAAUAAUACGGAAUAUAUCGAGAAUCGAAUGAUUAAAAGAUUAGUGGACUAAAUUGUACGAAAGAUAAGCUAGAAAGUGAAGAGAAAGGAGGUGACAACUUCAAGGACUUAAGUGGACUUUUUACCCACUUAUUAGCAUCUUUUAUGAAUGAAUAAUCAUUCAUUCAAACACAAUUUUGCAGCCAAAGGAGAAGAAUCCCGUAACUCUCCUCUUAAAUUUCUCACAAAUCUUCAAAACAUCAUAUCUCAUUCGUUUUAAGUCCGAAUUGAGCGAUUCUUGCGGCCACGGAACGAGGAAAGGAUUCUCUACAGAUCUAUGGCUUCAAUUUGAGACUCGAAGAAGCGACUAUCGAUAAGGCUCGAGGCAAACGGAUCGAGAUAUCGUCCAGCUUAUUUGAAGAAUUUGGAUAGCAAGUGGGAUAGCAUGAUAUGAUUUGAAGAGUCAAUCUUCCGAAGUCCUGAUUCUCGGAAGUGAUUUGUACAAGAAGAAAAAGAAUGUUUUCAUUCUAGCAGUCCGCAGUAGUCUAGCAUUUGUUAACUAUACUAUUGUAUAACGCGUUUUAACUCUUAUAUUAUUUGUAAAUGGGGUCAUAUGUAUUUUACUAUAUGAAAUAUGUUUUGAUUUGCGAAAAAUUUACACA